CACAUGUUACAAUGAUAUUGCUUUUGUCGAAUAAACCGGGGUCAAUGGAAAAUUGCCUAGUGAGUUGGUGAUGUAUAUUUCAAGGCCAAAUGUUCCCCAAUUAAAGUCCCCCCCCCUCUCUCCCGUCCUCUCCUCAGGCUAAGAUAGUGUGGAUGAAGAACAAGAUGAUCAUUGGGGAGGAUCCUAAAUUCUUGAUGCAGAACAACCAGGGGGUGUUGACCCUGAACAUCAGGAAGCCCGGCCAGUUUGACGGGGGCAAGUACUCCUGUAAGGCCAUCAACGACCUGGGGGAGGACGAGGUGGAGUGCAGGCUGGAAGUCCGAGUCUUAAAGGAGAAGAAAGAAGGAGACGAGGAGAAGAAAUGAGUUACAGUGACCGAUAGAAACACCAGAGGAUACAGUUCUGCAGGAAUCAUAAUGGAUUAUGUAUAACAGGAUAGACGUGAAUAAAUAUGAUUAGAAUACAAA